rnacentral:tRNA from 1 species
UCCCUGAUAGCUCAGCUGGUAAAGAAUCUGCCUGCAGAGCAGGAGACCUGGGUUCAAUCCCUGGGUUGGGAA